AGUUUGAUUCAUUCUCUCUAACAGAUCAUGUUUUCCAGAAUAUCAUCUUCCAAUGCCUUCUUUAAUUGUAUGUAUCUCCUGGGGACCACAAAUAUGAGUGACAGGAUAAUAGGAGGACAUACCACAGCUAUGUGGGUAAGCUAAUCUUCAAGUGAGAUGUUCCUACAAUCUAGAAUUCUUCUAUUGUUUUCAUCUUUCAAGGUAUUAAAUAUCCAUAAUUUUGUUAGGAGAAAAAAACACCCUCUUUUUAUAAGGUAGUUAAGCCCAACUCCUAUAUAAUUGAAAAAAAAAAAAGAAAGAAAAAACAAAAUAGAAAAUAGAAGCCAAUACAGGAUUAGGAAAGAAAAGCAGGUUUUCUCUCAGAACUACUCUUAAAUGAGUCAAAUUUAAAAUAAUAAUAAUAAUAAUAAUAAUAAAAAUAAUACAAACAACAUUGAAUAUAUGAACUUAAUACUAGAAUUGAAAAUCUUUUGUCUAUUGUUAUUGAUUCUUAAUAUGUGAUAAUUCUCCUUCAGUUUUAACUAAUUAUCUUAUAUGAAUAGUGUAUGCCUAGUAAUUUUUAAAUGAAAAGUUUUGUACCACUGACACAUUUUCUAAUCUACUCCCAAAACUAUUUUGCUUCUAAGUUUCAAAUCAGAUUCAUGGUUCUUUAAUUUAUAUAUCUGGAAAGUAGAACAAAUUCUCUCAUUGAAAAAUACAUAUCUAAUAUAUGUAUUUAUAUAUAAAUAAAUUAUUUAAAUAUAAAUACAUUAUCAUUCUGAAAAAAGCAAUCUAUAAUUUGUCUGAAUCUAAAACAAUUCUCCCAUUUUAAAAAUAAUUACUAGGUAAAUCUAAGUGCAGAUAUUUGUGGUGAUAAUUUUCUAAUUCAAGUGAGUAUAUAAUGUGUGCCUAGGGAUAAUGUGAACAAUUCAGAAUUUAUUUUAAAUUACCAAAUAUGUUGUAAAUUCUUAUCAAAAUUAUAUUAUUUUAAAAAUUAAGCUCAUCUUCAAAAAUUAAAUUAUUAAUUAGAAAGUUGUUUAUCUUAAAUUUCAACAUGCCAGUCAAAUGCAUUGAAUGAAAAUAUAUUUAAUAAAAAAUACCAUUGAUAAACUUAUUUUAUUUAUGAUAGUCUACUCUUGAGGCUUACUCAAAAUUGUUUAUAAUUUUUCACUGAAAAGAUAGUUAUACUUUAUAGAAAAUAUGGUAAUAAUGAUAAGAACACUAGACAGAAGGAUAUUAAUUACAAAACAUAAAGUGACUUUAUUAUUUUAUUGUAUGUAGUAUUUACUUAGACUACCAUUAGCCUGAUAUUUCAAUUUAAUUAGUUUUUUAAUUCUCAAAAUUUCUUUGUAAAAUUAAUAAAUGUGGUUUGAUGAUAUGUCAUAAUGUCAGCAUUUUUAAAAAAUAAAAAUACUUUGUUUAUCAGAACAAAAACUGGUUUAGGUAAAUGAAUGCUAAGUGGCUUAUUGAAUUAAAAAGUCUAGUGAAAUUUAAUAAUAAUUAACAUUAAAAACUUCAUUCUGUAUAAAUUGCAUAGCACAGUACAAGAGGAAACAGUUUUACAUAAUAAAGUUAUGUGAACAGUGUAAUUAAUAAUUACUAUUUUUAAACAAGUGGGAAAAAGAAAAAAAAAUACCUUUAACCAUUUAAAAUAACUUUGCUUUUAUUGUUGUUAUUGUUGUUUCUCCUGCUUUUGAAAUCAUUAUUAGCAGAAGAUGCUUACCAGGCUAGAAUUAUUCCAACCAAGUGUUCUGUAAUGAAACAAGAAAAUUUCUUUAAUUAGGUUUCUUAAGAAAUUUUCUGAAAAAAAAAGAAAUUUACUUAAUUAGGUUUCUUAUUACUCAGUUUUCUUAAUUUCCUUGGAUGAAAAGAAAAUCGGGAGAAUCUCAAAUUAAUUAUUCUUUAAUAUGAAUAGAUGGUACUCUAGUACUUAUUCAAUGGCUUUCACUCAUGAAACUUAUUACAUAUUACAAAUACUGUUUCAUUAAUUAUCACUCAAUGAGGACAAACAGCAUGACAAGUUUUAAAUAAUUUCGAAAAACUUAAAAUAUUAAUAUCAUAUUCUACUUACAGAAAAUAAGGCAUAAUCCUCACUGAGUGAUCAUGUUCAGUAUUCUAGAAAAUGAAAACAUCAAUCUAUGUCAUUAAGGAAAACUGACUUAACACUACUCUAAAGUACAAAUAUAAUUGGUACAAUGAAUUCUAAAAAGUGGGGCUCUCACCUAUGAGAACAAAGGCAAGAAAUGUAACAAAAUUCCCAGAAACUCGGCCCUUCCAAAUAUAAGAUAAGCUGAAACUUCUGUUUUUAUCCAUAUUACCAAUGAAAAUGGUGGGUCUGAUACUGAGUUGAAGCUUCUUAUAUUUUAAAAACUAUUUCAGAUGAAAAAGAACUGUCUGUAAGUUCCUUCAGUUUGUUGACACUUCUGUAAUUUUAGUAUUUAAAAAUUUAUGAUUUUUUAGCCUCAGUUUAAAUAUUAAAAUCAGUAUCACUUGUCUCAACCUGCGUAAUAACCUAUUCAGGGGUAACCAAAUCCAUCAAUGAGGGGAUGGAAAAAGACAACAGACAUAUGAAUGGAGAAAAAGCUGGGGCUUGGUGGUUCAGCCAACCUCUGAUGGCGGAAGCCUGACUGUGAGAAGUUUGGCAUCUUUUUAUAUAAGUUUAAACAUCACAAGGAUUUAUUGUGGGAAAGUUUCUUCAAAGCAAGUACAAUCAAGGUCAUGAGUAUUAACAGCCCAAUUAUGAUUAUCAGCUUUCACCCAUAACUUUCUACUCCCUGAGCAAGGAAAAGAAAUGAAUAGCUCCAUGACUGGCACAGAACUACCUAUUGAACAGGGUGUCACCGUAACAACUGGCUAUCUUCAUUACUGAUUUUGCACCAAGUGUUCUCCAGAGGGGCAUAGCCUCUGUCACAGGACAGUUCGGGACGCAUAAUUCAGUUGCUGCUCCCAACAAUCACUUGAACGGUAUAUAACUUAGAUUUUAACUAAAACACUUAAAAUUUUCAAUGUCAAGUCCUAUUGGAUAUAUGACUCAUGCAAUGAGUAGAUAAAUAAUAGAUUGUGGAGUACUGAUGGUUGGAUAGAGUUAUCUAAGGAUGUUUGUCAGUCUUUUUAUAGACAAUACUUUUUAGUCAUUAAUUAAUUAUUUGUAACUUUUAAAAAUUACAUUAAUUUAAAGUUAGUCUGUGAAUUACCUGAUAGAAUUUCUAUGACAAGUCAGAGUCCCUAAAAUGUGAGCUGAUAGCAAGUUUUCCUGAGAACCCAAGACAUAUUUAUCAGCCAAUUACCUUUAAUUUCUCAAACUGUUGUGUGCACUCAAAAUCACAACAAGUAAUCUUAAAAGCAUCAAAUAUUAUAAAUAUAUUGAUCAAAACAAUCUCAUUUUAUGUUUAUUUAUUUACUGUUGAGCCAGCAUGUACUCUGCAGUGAGCUACAACCCAAGACCUGUCAUCUAAGGAAUUUGUAAAUAAAAUUCUCAAUGACAAAAAAUUCCAUUAGAUAUACUUCUUGAGUACUUUAUGAAUUUUAAAAGUUUAUCUUAAAGUAUAAUAUGUCUUUAAAUAUGAAUUCUUACUUUCAAAGAAUGUUUGUAAUAGUGAUUUAAUUUAACACUCAGAGAGCCUGCUGGGUUCAAAAAGGCAGACAUUACUGUCCACGGUUUUCAACAGUGCAAAUUGAUGCUUGGACAGUUUAAGCGAAUAUUUUAAGGUUGUAAAAACAAUAUGAAUCCAUUACACCACCACUGUGGUUCAAUAUAUAGAAAAAUAAAAAUCAAAAUGUGAAAUUUUCAGUACUUAUCCAACUGUUCUUUGCCAUAAAGCUAUAUGGUGCCCACAUGAACUUUUUCUGUCUUCCAGGUUACCAUCUAGACAAGAAGCAGAAGGGAUCGGAAAGAACUCAAAAGAUGCAUAUUUAACAGACCAAUUGCCUUUUUAUUUUGAGUCUUUGUAGUUGAAUUCCGAGAAACUUUAUUAUUUUUUUUUCUGAGAAAGAAAAGUUCUGAAAAAUCUUGCAAUGUUUGAUGAACACAAAUGGAUUGAAUUAAGAAGACAGUGCUUACCUUUAAAUUAGUGAAGGAAUAUAGGUAAUACAUUAAUGAAGGAGUAUACCAGUCUUCUUCAAGACUUCUUGGGCAUAUUGUAAUCCAUAAAUUAAUAUUCAUUGAUUAAACAUUAUAGGGUAUGCCUGUGACAAAUUUAGGGCAUUAUUUAUUAAUUUAGUUGAACAAUUAUUAUGUGUCUACUAUGUGCACUGUUGCCUUAACUGAACAAGUAAUAAUCCUAAAUUCAAGGGGUUUAAGAUAGAAUCACAGUCUCUCCAGUAAUAUUAGAGAGUGUCUAAUGCAAAAUAUUCACAGAAAACAAUUUUAAAAGGAAAUAGGAGAACAACAAUUUUAAGUGACUUUCUCCAAGUUUAAGGAAUAGUUUCAAAGAAUAUCUGGACAUCCUGAUUAUAUUUUGGAACAGAAGUUAAUUGUUUUUAUGUGAACAGAUAUUUUACUAUUAUUUUGAAAAUGUUGCUAAAAGGAGUAUUAAAUAAGCAAAGAAAAGACCAUUAGCUUGAAUAUAUUGCUGUAUUUUUGAGUUCAUAGAUAACAAGCCAUAAUCUUAUUUACUACAUCAACCAACAUACACCUAAUUAGGAGUGUUUUUUUUUUUUUUUGAAUAGCCAUGUUUCAGCCAAUCAUUGAUAAGUUCCAGUUAGUCAUAGGCUACCAACCAGCUAGAACAUGUCCAAUUAAUGGGAAUAUCAAGCUGUUUUCCAAUCAGAUAACUUUUCCAUUUUGCUUCCAUGUUCAGUCUGUAUACGCUUGCUGCUUACACCACUGAUGGAACUCUGAACCUCCUUGAAUUCUGAGAAGUGUCCAGUUCAUAAAUCACUCUUUACUCAAAUAAACUAUUAAAUUUAAUUUGUCUGAAUUUUUUCUUUUAACAAGGAUUAGAG
rnacentral:lncRNA from 1 species